ensembl:lncRNA
AAAGAAGAGAGUUAUGUUUGGAGUUCUGGUGAUAUGAUAUUUUUGCCAUAUCGCCCACCCCUCAUUUCUAUAUUAUGUGUAAUUAUGACAUUGCACAUCAAACAGCAAAGCUUAAUAAACCAUAGCUUUAAAUAAAUAAAGCAUUUCAAAUUAUGUCGAAGCUUCAUAAGCUUUCCUAAAGAAAGGAAGUGGAAACACGUUGUGGUUUAGUGUCUGCACUGAAAGGAAAUCUGCAGUUUGAUCAAUGCUUUUACAGACGAAAGACAAUGGAGAAGAUCAUGCUCUUUUGUGUUUUUUCAUACUUGAUUGUUCAGAUCAGCUCCAGCGAUGUUUCAGAACAUAAUGUGACUCUGUUAAGAUUCCGGCUGAAUGAAACCAUCAUUCUGAACUGCAACAUAACCGAGAGAUUCACCAACAUAAAUGAAAUAGCCUGGUAUCACCAGAAUCCUGAAUCUGGGCGACUAACACUGAUAUUUGCUAUGGGCGAGAGAGAUCUAAAUUCAAUGCGUGUAAACAUUCACGCAACAUUUAAAGCAGUUAAAGGGAGCAACACAUUGUCGCUAAUUAUUAUUGGACUAAUGGAGUCAGAUUCAGGUCUUUAUUUCUGUGGAACAAGAUUAGUGAAUUCAGAAAUGCACUUUGAGAAACCCAUCAGACUACAGAUCGAGGACAAGCUGACAGACAGAGAGGACGAAGCUCAUUCUGAUGUUGAGAUCACAGGUGAGAGCAGAAAUCAUUCUUGUUUUUGUCUCAGUUUAUUUCAGGAACUCUCAGUGUAUUUGUUAUAGGUUAUGCAAUUUCAAUAUUUCGUGGAUUCUUCAUAGAACCAUCAAAUCCAAUUAAUUUUUUUUUUGUUUUAAGAGUGUAACUAUUCAUAGCAACGUACUUGUCACAUUAUUACAGAAAGUGCUCCACAGAUGUGAUUUUAGCAUGAUUUUAUCACAGUUCAAACUCAG